rnacentral:rRNA from 1 species
GACGAACGCUGGCGGCGUGCUUAACACAUGCAAGUCGAACGGAAAGGCCCCUUUGGGGGUACUCGAGUGGCGAACGGGUGAGUAACACGUGAGUAACCUGCCCUUGACUUCGGGAUAACUUCAGGAAACUGGGGCUAAUACCGGAUAGGAAUCCUUGCUGCAUGGUGGGGGUUGGAAAGCUUCGGCGGUUUUGGAUGGACUCGCGGCUUAUCAGCUUGUUGGUGGGGUAGUGGCUUACCAAGGCUUUGACGGGUAGCCGGCCUGAGAGGGCGACCGGCCACAUUGGGACUGAGAUACGGCCCAGACUCCUACGGGAGGCAGCAGUGGGGAAUAUUGCACAAUGGGCGAAAGCCUGAUGCAGCAACGCCGCGUGCGGGAUGACGGCCUUCGGGUUGUAAACCGCUUUCAGCAGGGGCGAAGCUUGUGGUGACGGUACCUGCAGAAGAAGCACUGGCUAACUACGUGC